AAGCUUUAAGGGAUGUAUCAACAUUUCCCUUGCCGCAUAUAUGAACCACCUGAAAAUCCUCUAAAAGCUUUGGGAGUAUUUCCCGAAUAAUACGGUUUAAAUUCUUAGAGCCCAAGCUUCCGCCCAUAACCAUUAUGACAGGUUUAUCCUUUACAAAAUCAGUAAUAUUC
rnacentral:ncRNA from 1 species